ACCAUUUACAACUCCAAAGAAGCACAGAACUGGAAGGCAGAGAACAGUAGCCUCAGACCUCCUGGUUAGGGCUCUUUCUGGGAAAGUUGGUGAUACAACUUUGAGCUGAGCUUAUUAAAUGUUAAUCAAGUUACCCUUUUGUCUUUGUGUAACAGGCUCAUACUCCUACACCCAUUCACAGAUGCCUGUUCCCAGUCCCAGUCAGGAUUUCUUUCCCCUCAAAGUCAGCACACUCAACAUUUCAUUUGGCUGUGAAAGCAAAAAACUUGUGAAGGAGUCAUAGGACAGGGAAAAGAAUUAUGUGGAGAUGGAAGGAGAAGGUGUUUUGGCCAACGAUAAAACAAAUGCUUCUGUAAAUAGCAAACCCACCUCGGACUUCUACAACUUCCUGUUCUUUUCUUUGUCCAGUCAGGCUUCAAUCUACUACUUAGACCAGCAGAUGAACUGCUCACUUGACAGUUCUCUAACUAAGAAAGAAAUCUUUCAGGGAGAAGGUCAGAGGAAUGUAUUUUUCUUCAUUGCUUUGAAACUGGUGGCUAGUUGUGCCUACAAGGCAAAAUGACAAUCCUGACAUCAUUACUCUGAACCUUCUCAAACCGAAGCAGUGAGUGAGUUAGGACUCUUCUAGUUACUAAACUGUAAGAUGAAAUUGCACUUACCAUCAGUAGUAUCUAGAAAUAAAAGGGUGCCUUGUCCAUUAUUCUUUGAAACAAAGGACACUGACACUGAUUUUCUGAGGCAAGUUCUGACUCUGGAUUCCCAGUGAACACAAAUGAGAUUCCCAGCGGACAUAAAUACUUUUCUGGAGGUCUAUAUGAUGUAUGUACUCCCCAGCAGUCAUGUUGAUAGCCAUUAUUUUGAGGUAGAAUUCAAGGAUCUGACUGUUAAGAUUAAAUGAUUUGCUCAUGGAUAGUAACUGUGCUAGAAAAAUAAGAACGUAGGUUAGAAUUAGUUGUCUUCCUUGUUCUUCCUGUCAUUGCAUUCCAGAAUGAAAUAUCAAAGUAAACCUUAGAAGUCAAAUCCCAGUAGUGCUGGGAGUUAUGUCUGCACUGUAAAAGCAACAGAGAUGGAACAAACACAGGCUUUCAUGAAAGUCUAGAGUGAAGGUUGUAUUCCUGGCUCAUCGCAUCAUUUUGUUUCUUCCUUUUUUUUUUUUUUUUUUUUUUUUUUUUUACUUUAUGUUUCCAUGCCCUUCAAAGGAGCAUGUUUUAUUGGCUAUGUGUUAGGAGUCAGACCAAUGUGUUAGGAGUCAGUCCACAAGCUUCUUGUGGACUUGCUUUUAGGGAAGCAACUUACAAUCUUCGACAUGCUACUCAUAAGAUGGGUUACUAGUACUUAUUUAUAGCAACAGAUAAAGCUAAGCUAAGCUGCAAAGGGUGUUGAUAUUCUUGACUAAAAGGUGCUGCACAAAAUGCAAAUUACUACUAUUUCUCUUCUCUUCAUCAUGACACCUCUUGGCUCCAAUUUUAACACAGUAUGCUCUUCUGUCCCUUCUUACAAUUGUGUUAUAUUGUUCUCCUUGCUCCCUCCUAUCACCUCAUUUUUCCUUCCACAUCAAGAAGCCUUUCUCGGUAAUAGUUCUGGCAUUUGGGCCUAAGGAGUGUGCCCCACUCAGAAACAUAAUAAUAUUAUAUCACUCUAAAAUGUGGUUAUCUUUGGUUCAGCCCUGGAUGUCAUUUACAAUAGUUCAAUAGAAUAUUCAGUAGAAUAGGUGAUGAUGGGUCUGAUUCUUUUCACUUGUGUCAGACCUAUUCCCAUGUAACUCCAUGGCCCCCAAUAGCAUUCAGCUGAUCUUAAAUGAAUAGUAAUGGAAUAAAUAUAGCUGAGAUUUUUUUAAGCAUCCAUAGCAGAUCAAGUGUACCACAUCAGUGGACUGCACAUUUUUGUUAUUAACAGUCAAAACUGUGAGGCCUCUGUGGAACUCUACAGCCUCUAAAGGCCUAUAUAAAACACAUAAGCACCUAAGAUAAAACAAUGAAGAUAUUAAUUUAUCAAAAUUGGGCAAAGAGAAUUUGCCAGUUUCGGGGCGUACUGUAAGAUCCUAUCUACUGCCGAAGCAUUUCCAUUUUUACAAAUAAGGGCACUGCUAAUACAACAUAUUUCCUGUAACUUCUUUCCAUGGGGAGAAGCUUAGAAACAUAGGGGAGCAAGAAAAUUCCUGGUGUUGCUUCACAUGUUUCCUGACAUAAAGGCACUAAUCUGAGCAGGAAUAGUGAUCCAGAUAUGAAGAUUCUUGCUAGGUUUGCAUCAAAUUAUUUCCAACAGCAUUUACUAUUUACAUAACACUACUAAAAUAUUUUUAGAUGCUCUGUCUAAAUAAAUUUGUCACUGUGAUCUCAGUGAAAUCACUUUUCUUUUCUUUCCAAAGAAAUCUGCAAAAAGUUUUCUAAUUCUUAGAGAUAGAAGUAAAGAGUUCUAAAACUAUUAAUUACUAAACAGAAAAAAGAAGCAACCUAAGAAAUUAGAAUUUAAGUAAUCAAAAUAUUCAAAGCCACCUUUUGUUUUUUAAUGAAAGACUCCUUGAAACAACGAUAACAAUGUGGACUUGGGCUAGAGAGGUCACACUGAACUCACGGAAUUUUUUUUAGACAUUACUGCCAUGGCAGAUAAGAGAAAUUCAGUGCAUGUACUAUACUUAGAUUUUAAAAAGGCAGCUGACAAGAUUCUAUACCAGAGAUAAAUUUCUUAGCUACGGUCAUCGAAUGACAAGAAUAAUAGGGUAAUGGACAAAACACUGGCAUAAUAGCAGAACACAAAAAGAUACCUGAAUAUAGAUGUUUCAUCCUAUUAAAGAAGAAAAAGGUGGAUUAAAUAUAUAAAAUAAGAACAAAUUUGAAGACUAGUCCUCUAGAUCUCCCAGACUGGAUGGUGCGCAUGAUUACAAAAGGGAAACCGAACAUUGAAUGAAUCAAUUUUUGUGCUUACUCCUCAGAGAGCUGAAGGUGUGUAGAUCUGUCAAGGAUGGUCACACUGAUUGAAUUUAGAUCUGUUGUACCUGCAUUAUUGGACCAAGGUAGCACUUAUGAUGAGAGAUAAACAGGUUUUUUAGCAAAGAUUAAAAAGUCUUCUAAGCUGUCAGUGAUUUUAAUGUCUGGCAAACAAUGACUAACAGAGGGUGCUUCCAGCUCCCCCUGUGCAUCACAGAGAAAUGAUAGGCAUCAGAGUUCUUCCUGGGAGCAAGGAAUGAGAAAGAAGAAGUGGGUCUGAGUCAAAGGAAAGCUGAGCCACCAAAGCCAUGAAGCAAGCAAUAUGUUUACAAGCAAAUUGAGAUACAAACUCUGUAUAGUUUCUGGAGCAUAGAGUAGGGGGAAAGAAAGUCAGUAGCAUGGAUGAAAGAUUGUCGGACUCCCUUCCUCCAAAUGCUACUCUGCAAAGCUCUUCCACUUGGUGUUUGUGCAGGGUGCACUUCUGUACUAUGUGUGGCAAGUAUUUUCCUGUAAGACACAAGAAAAAUCUUGAAACCAAGCAUAAAUAUGAAGCUGUAAUGUAUAUUAUUAUUAAAUGUGAAUCAAUAUGGUAUUACACCAGUGCUUCACCAUUAAGAAGAAUUGCAUUAAACUGGUAGCACAGGAAGAGAAUGGUUGUAUAUGGGACAGUGAUGGGGAAAGAGGAAGGAGCAUCCACGAGUUCAAAGGAAUAGGUAGGUAUGUCUCUUCGUGGAGGAAAAAGUACUGAGGGAAAAAAUCCACAGGGCAGAUGUAUUGGUCUGGAUGAUAAGACUGUACGGUAUUAUGUCCUUAUUAACUAGUCCUAAGUGGUAGAGGUUCUGAAAACAUGUAAGUAAAAGCAUUCUAGGAGUACUGUGAAAAAUAAAAAGGAUAAUUAUUAUAAAAAUGGUACUCUCAAAGCUCUCAAAGCAUUUUUUAUUAAAUCAAAAUUAUACUGGUGUAACAUUAAGAAUGAGAUUUUAACUGAAAUGUUUAAACCAAAGGUUUCUUCAAGAAACCCUCACACUGUUCCCAUGAGUAUAUGCAUAACAAUAGAUUCUUUCAUUGUGUACUGAAUUUUUGCAUCAGACACUGAAUAAUAAUUAUUUUCCACUGUAGCUUCACCCCAGCCUACCUGGAGUUUCACAACACCACAGAAGAAAGCUGCUUUCUGAAUAGGCAGCUCCUCAAAGAGGCAGUGAUCUACCAGAUGCUAAGAGGAUACACAGAAACAUGAGGGAGGGCUUAAGCCAGUAUAUAGGAGAGAAACCAGAUGUGUGAGAAACAUUAUACAGGCACUGUCAAAAAUGAAGAAAGAAAUAGCUUGAAGAAGCAGAUGGGUGGACAAGGUAUUUUCCCUCAAAAAUCUCAACAAACAAUGGGAGGAAGAAAAUGGAUACCAGCCUAGAACAGCUUCAUUGAUAAAAUGAACUUGAUCUGUGUCUGAUAAAUCUUGCUAUUCAGGCAAGGUCUCCUGCCACGUUGUUCUUUAUCAAGAGGUAUGCUCAGUUUUGGGACUGCUGCACCGAAGACUAGAUUUUCUAAGAUCAGAGCGUUCUGCCUUCAGUCUGAGAAGCAGAGCUGAGAUCUCUCAGCAGCGGUCAGGAAGUGAAUGCAAAGCUGAAUAACAUUUUGCUAAAACAGAGCAUCAGGAAUUGGUUUUACUGAAGAACAGAGGAAUCAUACAUUUGGAAAUAGUUGCUAUAAAAAGAAGUACUAGGUAGAUCUUGGUAGAAGAAAGGAGCAAGAGCACUACAGUUUCCCCUCUGGGUGCCAGCAAACCGUCUUAGAAUUCAUUCUGAAUAUUUCAGGUUUCUGAUUCCGAGCCUGAAACUUGACUCAAGACAGGGUGAAACUCAUCAGAAACUGUGUUCCCUGGGGGUAGUAAAGAAAAGGCUGCAAGAAAUAAGUGGAUAAUGGUCAGUACCUGACUGCCAUUCAUGAAAUUAUAAUAGUACUUGACAUGGAUUUGGUUCUUUUUGUCUUCCUCAUUAUCGUACACCUCUUUGCAUCAGCUUGGUAUCAGUUCCUUAUUUUGUAAAUGAUGAUUUAAGCUAGGCAUUAUUCAGGGUAUUUAGUGACAGUGACUACAGCAUCUAAAUUCAAGAAAGCCUG